rnacentral:rRNA from 1 species
AUACGGAAGGUCCAGGCGUUAUCCGGAUUUAUUGGGUUUAAAGGGAGCGCAGGCGGAGAUGCAAGCGUGACGUCAAAUUUCGGGGCUCAACCCCGUCUCGCGUCGCGAACUGCGUCCCUUGGUUGCGGGAAGGGGAGGCGGAACUCGUGGUGUAGCGGUGAAAUGCAUAGAUAUCACGAAGAACUCCGAUCGCGAAGGCAGCCUUCCGGCCCGUCAACGACGCUCAUGCUCGAAGGUGCGGGUAUCAAACAGGAUUAGAUACCCUGGUAGUCCGCACAGUAAACGAUGGACACCCGCGGUUUGGCCUAUAUGGCUGAGCCGCCAAGCGAAAGCGUUAAGUGUCCCACCUGGGGAGUACGCCGGCAACGGUGAAACUCAAAUGAAUUGACGGGG